GCUAGAGGAGUGCAGUAGUGCUCACAACAAAUCAAUCAAAACCUGUUACAGACUUCUUUGUUCCUUCUCUACUCCCACUGCUUCAUUAAUAA
ensembl:misc_RNA Y_RNA Y RNA